UACGGGGGGGGCUAGCGUUGUUCGGAAUUACUGGGCGUAAAGGGCGCGUAGGCGGCCUACUAAGUCGGACGUGAAAUCCCUCGGCUCAACCGGGGAACUGCGUCCGAUACUGGUGGGCUCGAAUCCGGGAGAGGGAUGUGGAAUUCCAGGUGUAGCGGUGAAAUGCGUAGAUAUCAGGAGGAACACCAAUGGCGAAGGCAGCUCACUGGGACGGUAUUGACGCUGAGACGCGAAAGCGUGGGGAGCAAACAGG
rnacentral:rRNA from 1 species